AUGCCUAAUAUACUUAGUUUAACCUGUAUUUAUUUUAAUUCUAUUCUUUAUCCUACUAGUUUUUUCUUUGCCAAAUUACUCGAAGCUUAUGCUAUUUUCAGUCCAAUCGUGGAUAUUAUGCUUGUUAUACCUCUAUUCUUUUUUCUAUUAUCCUUUGUUUGCCAAGCUGCUGUAAGUUUUCGAUGA
rnacentral:rRNA from 1 species